GAAUCCUAUGCCACUCCAUCACACACCCCCACCCGCCCGGGUUAGCUUGUGGAGCAGAUAGAGCCACGGGAUAGGUUUCAGUCCCCAAUCCCCUUCUCUUUGCGCAGCACGGCGGCGGCUCUGCUCCGGCGAUAUGUCCACCAACGGCCUCGAGCUCGACGGGGCGUCGCUGUGCCGGCUGGAUCGAUUGGUUCUGUCCUCCCAGUUGAGUCCCAGGAUUCCAUGAGUCCAGCAGAUGUUGGAGAUCAACAAGGAAGGCAAAGCUCGGCCAGAUGUAGAUGCAGCCAGAUAUGAGGUGUGCUCACAAGCCAUGAGUGGCUAGACAGUGGACACGAAGUGGAGACUCAUUGAGAGCUAACCUGCCAAUCAAGAGGCGUGCCAGUAAUGUUUACAUCCAGGUGAUUUUUGAUCAAUUUGGCGAAACUCUGUACAAAGCCGGUGCAUAUGUGCUGGACGAACUAGAACUGAUUAUAUGUCUGCAUUUGAAUUUUAUAGUGUCCAAGUGCUAGUAAUGUACAGAUUUGCUGCGGAUUAAUUAGUUGGUCUAUGGUACUACGUGGUGGUAACUUGAUUAUCUCCCCCUGACGAAUUAUCUGAACAUUGUUAUGGUGUUGGCUGACUACAGACUAUCCGAAAUUAUGAUUUAGGAUGUGUAGCUUUGAGUGUUGCUAGCUUUGGUUGCGGAUGGAACACCAAGACCACUCUGAAUAGUUUUGAUUUUUACAAAACUUCUAGCACCUGAGCUGAA